AUAUAUCACGUUACAUAUAUGUGUGUGUGUGACUGUGUGUAUAUAUGUGUGCAUUUAUGACUGGUUUUGAUUAUAUGAUACUUUAUUUUGUUUUUCUUUUCAAUUGCUUGCCGAUGAGCUCCACUUACAUUGUGAUUGUGGUGAAAAAUCAAUUUUGAGGGUUUGUUGUUGACAUUACUUGUUGCUUUAAAAUUUCAGUUAUUAGCUUCGUCCAAUUCUAAAAAAGCUAUGUAUAUACGGUAUUAACUAAUUUAUACCAAAUGAAGGUAACUUAUAAAUCAUUUAACGUGAAUGAUCUUUUCUCUUUUUAGCAAAAACAUUAUCAAAUACAAAAAAGAAAAGCAUGAUCAAUCAUAUAUAGAAUUAAAAGUUUUUAUUUUGCUAGGGAAUUUUAAAAUUCCAAGAUAAUCAUUUCUAAAAUUAAUUAGCUGACAAGAAGAAGAGCAGCAGCAAAAUGAUAAAAAGGAAUAAGAAGUGGAGAGGGCAAUUGUUAUUCAAUUCUCUUCUCCACAUUUGAUUGGAUAAUGAUGGAAUAAAAAGAAAUUCGUAUAGAAAAGAUCCUGAAAUGUGGAUUAUGGUGCAAUAAGAUAAAUUGUUGGAGGCAAAAUGGUGGUUCGGGGUCAAUGCAUAAUAAUGAAAGAAGUUGUAAGUUAUGAAAGAAUUUUGUAAUUUGUAAUUUGUAAUUUGUUGUGGGUAUUAAGAAUUUUGCAGAAAUGAUUUAUGUGUGUGUCUAUAUAUAUAUAUAUUAUAAUAAGAUGUGAACCAGUUGAGAGGGAGGUUAGUGAGGAUACAAUAAGACUUUUGGGAGGGAUAUAUUCCGCUCUAGUAAUUUAGGAAAACAUUUGUGAGGAUAAAUGGAUUACAUUCUAGGGCUUUUCAUAAAUAUUCAUGAAUAUCAACAGACUGUUUCAACUCUUUUUCUCUUUUUCAAAAUUUUUCUUUACUUGGUUUGUGGAUUGGGGUUGCAGUUGUUGCUUCCACUUGCUUGCCUACAACAGCCAGUGUAUGUAUGCAUGCCAAUUGAGACCAGAGAGAGGUGUAUAUUUCCAAGCCAAGUAACCUAGAUUGUAAAGUUUCCUGGUAGUUGCACCAAUUGAAUGGAUGGUGGGGUUGAUGGGUUUUGUAGAAGGCCGCAACUAUUCGUCUAGCCCAUUGUCACCUUUGGACGUUUUCAUUACCCAAUGUACAUCUUACCAACAUAGUGUGCUAUGAGGGAAGAAUGGAGAUAUAUUUAACCUUUGUUAUUAUUUUGCACAAGGUGGCUGUUUUCAAAUUCUAACAUGAGAUCUCAGGCUUGUCAGUUCAA